rnacentral:lncRNA from 1 species
CCCAACGGGACUGCAGGAUUCCCUGCCCAAGGAACUGUCGGGACUUUCCUGUCCCAAGGAAUGUGGGAUUCAGCCUCAACCCUUGUCCUAAAAGAUUCGGGAUUCCCCCUCAUUCCCUGUCCCAAGGGAUUCAGGAUUCAGACUUGGCCCAGCUCCCAAGGGAUGCAGGAUUUCCUGUCCCAAAUGAUGUGGGGCUCCCCCUCACUCCCUGUCCCAAGGGAUGCAGGAUUCCACCUCUCCAAUUCCUGCUGCUCCUCCCUCCCCUCCCUGCCCUUCACAUCCCUCCGAUCCCAAUCCUGAUACCAGUCCCAAUCCCGAUCCCAUUCCCAGUCCCGAUCCCAGUCCCAGUCCCAGUCCCGAUCCCAGUCCCAGUCCCGAUCCCAAUCCCAGUCCCAGUCCAGACCCCAGUCUCAAUCCCAGUCCCAGUCCUGAUCCCAGUCCCGAUCCCAGUCCCAGUCCAGACCCCAGUCUCAAUCCCAAUCCCAGUCCUGGUCUCGGUGGGUUGGGAUCCCCCAGGUGGCACCGGGAGCCUUUUGCUGCUGCAGGGCCGGAGCAGAUCCGGGCUGGGAUGCCGGGAUGGAUCCAAAGCCCUGCGAGCUCCUCAGCCUGCCCAGUCCUUGUGCCAGCAGCUUCCCCUUCUCCCAGAGGAGCCUCAGAGGGUCUGCAGAUCCCAACUUUUCAUUUCUAUGUUUAUUUCCAUUAUUUUGAUUUUUGGGUAAAAAUCUUCUGAUUUUUUCACACCCCUGACUCCAGCACUUCUCCCAAGACCUCCAGGGCUCCAGGGGUUUUUCCUGCAGGAAUUCCCCCCGUUCAGGGUCCCCCCUGGCCGAAGUCACCCCAGCCCAGCUGACAAUCAAACCAGACUCCCGAAAAACAGGAAUCCAUUGCAGUUUGAUAGAAAAACUUUUUAAAAUCCCCCCCCUUCUCUCUCACCACCUCAUCUCCAGGAUAAACCAUCACCCACUGCUCCUCCUGUAAAUAAACAUCAAACCUUCUUGUAUAAAUUAAAAAUA